AAGCCGUGGUGUGGGCAUUGGUUAGUGUAGCUUCUAAACCGUUCCCCAGCUUCACUAAAGCUCUCGUUAUUGUGCUGCGUGAAACUUGAGAUCUGAUUCCUGAGCUU
rfam:Eutrema salsugineum unplaced genomic scaffold scaffold_3, whole genome shotgun sequence.